AAAACGGGCUCGCAGGCCGGUCUCUUUAAAGUCCUGAAUGUGAAAGCCCCCCGGCUCCAAACCGGGGGAGGGUCAUUGGAAAACUGGGGAAACUUGAGUGCAGAAGAGGAGAGUGGAAUUCCACGUGUAGCGGUGAAAUGCGUAGAGAUGUGGAGGAACACCAGUGGCGAAGGCGACUCUCUGGUCUGUAACUGACGCUGAGGAGCGAAAGCGUGGGGAGCGAACAGGAUUAGAUACCCUGGUAGUCCACGCCGUAAACGAUGAGUGCUAAGUGUUAGGGGGUUUCCGCCCCUUAGUGCUGCAGCUAACGCAUUAAGCACUCCGCCUGGGGAGUACGGUCGCAAGACUGAAACUCAAAGGAAUUGACGGGGGCCCGCACAAGCGGUGGAGCAUGUGGUUUAAUUUGAAGCAACGCGAAGAACCUUACCAGGUCUUGACAUCCUCUGACAACCCUAGAGAUAGGGCUUUCCCUUCGGGGACAGAGUGACAGGUGGUGCAUGGUUGUCGUCAGCUCGUGUCGUGAGAUGUUGGGUUAAGUCCCGCAACGAGCGCAACCCUUGAUCUUAGUUGCCAGCAUUCAGUUGGGCACUCUAAGGUGACUGCCGGUGACAAACCGGAGGAAGGUGGGGAUGACGUCAAAUCAUCAUGCCCCUUAUGACCUGGGCUACACACGUGCUACAAUGGACAGAACAAAGGGCUGCAAGACCGCAAGGUUUAGCCAAUCCCAUAAAUCUGUUCUCAGUUCGGAUCGCAGUCUGCAACUCGACUGCGUGAAGCUGGAAUCGCUAGUAAUCGCGGAUCAGCAUGCCGCGGUGAAUACGUUCCCGGGCCUUGUACACACCGCCCGUCACACCACGAGAGUUUGCAACACCCGAAGUCGGUGAGGUAACCUUUAUGGAGCCAGCCGCCGAAGGUGGGGCAGAUGAUUGGGGUGAAGUCGACAGCGCG
rnacentral:rRNA from 1 species